CCGCCCAGCAGCGCCCGGACGCUCUCUGCCCGCGGGGGGCCAGGAGGAUCCGGCGGCCGCAGCGGCGCCAGAGAGCGCGCACGGCGAGGGGCAUACUUCUGUUACUGUUCGAUGAUUGUGAGGCGUCGAUAACAGGAUACAUCCUCACUGGG